AACAAACUGAUGAAAGAAUGAUCAAACCGAGGGAAUUCACUCAGAACUAACAAUAAUGAUAACGUGCUCCGACUGGUGCGGUUUAGGAACUGCUGGAAGGCUCUAGGGGAAUAAAGAUGGAAUGACUUCUAAUUUUUAGGUCCGUAUGAUUUGAAAUACUUGCACACAAACCGCGCGAAAGCGUUCCUGGAAAUCUCAGCCCAAAAAAGGACGUUUAGUAAUUUUAAAAGGGACUAUAGGAUGAAAAACAAUAGUUUUGGCAAUUAAAGUUUGAGAUUCGACGGUGUCGUAGAUCCGUUUGGUCAUCAGGUGUUACGAGCCACACCCAUGUCUAGCUAGAAUAGUAUGUCAGGCUCAGGUUAGAGUAGAAACGGGGAACAAACUGAUGAAAGAAUGAUCAUACCAAGGGAAUUCACUCAGAACUAUCAAGAAUGAUAACGUGCUCCGACUGGAGUGAUUUAGGAACUGCUGGAAGGCUCUAGGGGAAUAAAGAUGGAAUGACUUCUAAUUUUUACGUCCGUAUGAUUUGAAAUACUUGCACACAAAUCACGCAAAAGCGUUCCUGGAAAUCUCAGCCUAAAAAAGGACGUUUAGUAAUUCUAAAAGGGACUACAGGAUGAAAAACAAUAGUUUGGGCAGUUAAAAUUUGAGAUUCGACGGUGCCGUAGAUCCGUUUGGUCAUCAGGUGUUACGAGCGACACCCUUGUCUAGCUAGAAUAGUGUGUUAGGCUCAGACUAGAGAAGAAACGGGGAACAAAGUGAUGAAAGAAUGAUCAUACCGAGGGAAUUCACUCAGAACUAACAAGAAUGAUAACGUGCUCCGACUGGAGCGGUUUAGUAACUGCUGGAAGGCUCUAGGGGAAUGAAGAUGGAAUGACUUCUAAUUUUUAGGUCCGUAUGAUUUGAAAUACAUGCACACAAACCCUGAGAAAGCGUUCCUGGAAAUCUCGGUCGAAAAAAGGAUGUUUAAUAAUUCUAAAAGGGACUACCGGAUGAAAAACAAUAGUUUUGGCAGUUAAAGUUUGUGAUUCGAUGGUGCCGUAGAUCUGUUUGGUCAUCAGGUGUUACGAGCCACACCCAUGUCUAUCUAGAAUAGUGUGUUAGGCUCAGGCUAGAGCAGAAACGGGGAACAGACUUAUGAAAGAAUGAUCAUACCGAGGGAAUUCACUCAGAACUAACAAGAAUGAUAACGUGCUCCGACUGGCGCGGUUUAGGAACUGCUGGAAGGCUCUAGGGGAAUAAAGAUGGAAAGACUUCUAAUUUUUAGGUCCGUAUGAUUUGAAAUACUUGCACACAAACCGCACGAAAGCGUUCCUGGAAAUCUCAGCCUAAAAAGGAUGUUUAGUAAUUCUAAAAGGGACUACAAGAUGAAAAAUAAUAGUUUGGGCAGUUAAAAUUUGAGAUUCGACGAUGCCGUAGAUCCGUUUGGUCAUCAGGUGUUAUGAGCCACACCCAUGUCUAGCUAGAAUAGUGUGUUAGGCUCAGGCUAGAGAAGAAACGGGGAACAAACUGAUGAAAGAAUGAUCAUACCGAGGGAAUUCACUCAGAACUAACAAGAAUGAUAACGUGCUCCGACUGGAGCAGUUUAGAAACUGCUGGAAGGCUCUAAUGGAAUAAAGAUGGAAUGCCUUCAAAUUUCUAGGUCCGUAUGAUUUGAAAUACUUGCACACAAACCGCUCGAAAGCGUUCCUGGAAAUCUCAGCCCAAAAAAGGACGUUUAGUAAUUCUAAAAGGGACUACAGGAUGAAAAACAAUAGUUUUGGCAGUUAAAGUUUGAGAUUCGAUGGUGCCGUAGAUCCGUUUGGUCAUCAGGUGUAACGAGCCACACACAUGUCUAGCUAGAGUAGUGUGCUAGGCUCAGACUAGAGAAGAAACGGGGAACAAAGUGAUGAAAGAAUGAUCAUACCGAGGGAAUUCACUCAGAACUUACAAGAAUGAUAACGUGCUCCGACUGGAGCGCUUUAGUAACUGCUGGAAGGCUCUAGGCGAAUAAAGAUGGAAUGACUUCUAAUUUUUAGGUCCGUAUGAUUUGAAAUACUUGCACACAAACCACGCAAAACCGUUCCUAGAAAUCUCGGUCGAAAAAAGGACGUUUAGUAAUUCUAAAAGGGACUACAGGAUGAAAAACAAUAGUUUUGGCAGUUAAAGUUUGAGAUUCGAUGGUGCCGUAGAUCCGUUUGGUCAUCAGGUGUUACGAGCCACACCCAUGUCUAGCUAGAGUAGUGUGCUAGGUUCAGACUAGAGAAGAAACGGGGAACAAAGUGAUUAAAGAAUGAUCAUACCGAGGGAAUUCACUCAGAACUAACAAGAAUGAUAACGUGCUCCGACUGGAGCGGUUUAGGAACUGCUGGAAGGCUCUAGGGGAAUAAAGAUGGAAUGACUUCUAAUUUUUACGUCCGUAUGAUUUGAAAUACAUGCACACAAACCACGCAAAAGCGUUCCUGGAAAUCUCAGCCUAAAAAAGGACGUUUAGUAAUUCUAAAAGGGACUACAGGAUGAAAAAUAAUAGUUUGGGCAGUUAAAAUUUGAGAUUCGACGCUGCCGUAGAUCCGUUUGGUCAUCAGGUCUUACGAGCCACACCCAUGUCUAGCUAGAAUAGUGUGUUAGGCUCAGGCUAGAGAAGAAACGGGGAACAAACUGAUGAAAGAAUGAUCAUACCGAGGGAAUUCACUCAGAACUAACAAGAAUGAUAACGUGCUCCGACUGGAGCAGUUUAGAAACUCCUGGAAGGCUCUAGGGGAAUAAAGAUGGAAUGACUUCAAAGUUUUAGGUCCGUAUGAUUUGAAAUACUUGCACACAAACCGCGUGAAAGCGUUCCUGGAAAUCUCAACCCAAAAAAGGGCGUUUAGUAAUUCUAAAAGGGACUACAGGAUGUAAAACAAUAGUUUUGGCAGUUAAAGUUUGAGAUUCGAUGGUGCCGUAGAUCCGUUUGGUCAUCAGGUGUAACGAGCCACACCCAUGUCUAGCUAGAGUAGUGUGCUAGGCUCAGACUAGAGAAGAAACGGGGAACAAAGUGAUGAAAGAAUGAUCAUACCGAGGGAAUUCACUCAUAACUAACAAGAAUGAUAACGUGCUCUGACUUGAGCGGUUUAGGAACUGCUGGAAGGCUAUAGGGGAAUAAAGAUGGAAUGACUUCAAAUUUUUAGGUCCGUAUGAUCUGAAAUACUUGCACACAAACCGCGAGAAAGCGUUCCUGGAAAUCUCAACCCAAAAAAGGACGUUUAGUAAUUCUAAAAGGGACUACAGGAUGAAAAACAAUAGUUCUGGCAGUUAUUGUUUGAGAUUCGAUAAUCUCGUAGAUCCGUUUGGUCAUCAGGUGUAACGAGCCACACCCAUGUCUAGCUAGAGUAGUGUGCUAGGCUCAGACUAGAGAAGAAACGGGGAACAAACUGAUGAAAGAAUGAUCAUACCGAGGGAAUUCACUUAGAACUAACAAGAAUGAUAACGUGCUCCGACUGGAGCGGUUUAGGAACUGCUGGAAGGCUCUAGGGGAAUAAAGAAGGAACGACUUCUAAUUUUUAGGUCCGUAUGAUUUGAAAUAUGUGCACACAAACCACGAGAAAGCGUUCCUAGAAAUCUCGGCCCAAAAGAGGACGUUUAGUAUUCUAAAAGGGACUACAGAAUGAAAAACAAUAGUUUUGGCAGUUAAAGUUUGAGAUUUGACGGUGCCGUAGAUCUGUUUGGUCAUCAGGGGUUACGAGCCACACCCAUGUCUAGCUAGAAUAGUGUGUUAGGCUCAGGCUAGAAAAGAAACGGGGAACAAAGUGAUGAAAGAAUGAUCAUACCGAGGGAAUUCACUCAGAACUAACAAGAAUGAUAACAUGCUCCGACUGGAGCGGUUUAGGAACUGCUGGAAGGCUCUAGGGGAAUAAAGAUGGAAUGACUUCUAAUUUUUAGGUCCGUAUGAUUUGAAAUACUUGCACACAAACCGCGCGAAAGCGUUCCUGGAAAUCUCAGCCCAAAAAAGGACGUUUAGUAAUUCUAAAAGGGACUACAGGAUGAAAAACAAUAGUUUUGGCAGUUAAAGUAUGAGAUUCAACGGUGCCGUAGAUCCGUUUGGUCAUUAGGUGUUACGAGCCACACCCAUGUCUAGCUAGAAUAGUGUGCUAGGCUCAGGCUAGAGAAGAAACGGGGAACAAACUGAUGAAAGAAUGAUCAAACCGAGGGAAUUCACUCAGAACUAACAAUAAUGAUAACGUGCUCCGACUGGAGCGGUUUAGGAACUGCUGGAAGUCUCUAGGGGAAUAAAGAUGGAAUGACUUCUAAUUUUUACGUUCGUAUGAUUUGAAAAACUUGCCCAUAAACCGCGCGAAAGUGUUCCUGGAAAUCUCAGCCCAAAAAAGGACGUUUAGUAAUUUUAAAAGGGACUACACGAUGAAAAACAAUAGUUUUGGCAGGUAAAGUUUGAGAUUCGACAGUGCCGUAGAUCCGUUUGGUCAUCAGGUGUUACGAGCCACACCCAUGUCUAGCUAGAAUAGUAUGUUACGCUCAGGUUAGAGAAGAAACGGGGAACAAACUGAUGAAAGAUGAUCAUACCAAGGGAAUUCACUCAGAACUAACAAGAAUGAUAACGUGCUCCGACUGGAGCGGUUUAGGAACUGCUGGAAGGCUCUAGGGGAAUAAAGAUGGAAUGACUUCUAAUUUUUACGUCUGUAUGAUUUGAAAUACUUGCACACAAACAACGCAAAAGCAUUCCUGGAAAUCUCAUCCUAAAAAAGGACGUUUAGUAAUUCUAAAAGGGACUACAGGAUGAAAAAUAAUAGUUUGGGAAGUUAAAAUUUGAGAUUCGAUAGUGCCGUAGAUCCGUUUGGUCAUCAGGUGUUAGGAGCCACACCCAUGUCUAGCUAGAAUAGUGUGUUAGGCUCAGGCUAGAGAAGAAACAGGGAACAAACUGAUGAAAGAAUGAUCAUACCGAGGGAAUUCACUCAGAACUAGCAAGAAUGAUAACGUGCUCCGACUGGAGCAGUUUUGAAACUGCUGGAAGGCUCUAGGGGAAUAAUGAUGGAAUGACUUCUAAGUUUUUGGUCCGUAUGAUUUGAAAUACGUGCACACAAACCCAGAGAAAGUGUUCUUGGAAAUCUCGGCCGAAAAAAGGAUGUUUAAUAAUUCUAAAAGGGACUACAGGAUGAAAAACAAUAGUUUUGGCAGUUAAAGUUUGUGAUUCGAUGGUGCUGUAGAUCUGUUUGGUCAUCAGGUGUUAUGAGCCACACCCAUGUCUAGCUAGAACAGUGUGUUAGGCUCAGGCUAGAGCAGAAACGGGGAACA
rnacentral:lncRNA from 1 species